AGCUAACGCGUAAGCGAGGCAGCGACCUAAGGUAGGGUCAGCGAUUGGGGUGAAGUCGUAACAAGGUAGCCGUAGGAGAACCUGCGGCUGGAUCACCUCCUUU
rnacentral:rRNA from 1 species